GCCAUUCAUCCUCUUCCUCCCUGCCGACCGUCGCGCCUCCACUCCCUUCCGGUCGGCCUGCCCCGCCCCUGCACCACCGCCCUUCCUCACCCCAAAGGCUACCACCGCAACCAUCCCGACGCGGGAUCCGCACUGCCCUGCGUUCAUCUUGGUCGAGGGCCAGCGCCCAUGGUAGUCUCGAGCCCAGAUUCGCAUCAGACAAAGGCAGCGAGGUGGGAGGGGAGCACAGAGAUAAAGGCUCAGGCUUGCUGGGGGCGGAGGCCAUGGCAGGGAUGCAGCACUGUGCUCGGGCGCCGCAUCAAGCGGUGGCAGCGAGGCGGGAGGCCGCACGGGAACGAAGGAGGAGAAAAUGGAGAGGCAAGGGCGGCGGGAAUGGCGGGGAGGCGGUGCUACGCUCGGGGAGGGGGGUGCGCAUCAGGCAACUGAAGCGAGGCAGGAUGUGCGGGUGCCGACCUGCUCCGGCGUCCUCUCAAGGUGCUCCGCUCCCGAGCCCGUCAGCCCCUAUCUCUUCCACGACAGCGACACAUGCCACAUCUUGAGCCUCCAUCUCUUCCACAACAAGCAGCAUACGCAUCAUGUUUUCUACGGUUUUAUUUCCCUGCCUCCAUCUCUUUCAUGGCAAGCAACACAAGUUUCUUUGUUUGUAAAUUAAGCAGUCUGAUUUGGAAAGCAAGGAAUUGCAGAUUUGGAAAGGAGGAACAGAGUACUAGACUUUUAUACAUCUGCAUAAGAUUUGGAAACGAGAAACAGUGGAACAGGGUAGUUUUAACCAUACUACAUGGAGAAAAUGUCCGUGCAGCUCUUGGUGUACUCCUGUGUAGAUUUUCAUAGAGCAAUAUUACUUGCAUUCAGUUUUGUGUCGUCGUGGAAAUUCAGAUGGCCGUCUCUUGACGCCACAACGUCUUCAUUCAGAUCUUAAUU